CGAACGGUGACGGCAGGCUUAACACAGGCAAGUCGAGCGCACUCUUUUAGAGUGAGCGGCAAACGGGUGAGUAACGCGUGGGAAUCUACCCCUCUGUACGGAAUAACACAGAGAAAUUUGUGCCAAUACCGUAUACGUCCUUAUGGGAGAAAGAUUUAUCGGAGAUGGAUGAGCCCGCGUUGGAUUAGCUAGUUGGUGAGGUAACGGCUCACCAAGGCGACGAUCCAUAGCUGGUCUGAGAGGAUGAUCAGCCACACUGGGACUGAGACACGGCCCAGACUCCUACGGGAGGCAGCAGUGGGGAAUAUUGGACAAUGGGGGCAACCCUGAUCCAGCCAUGCCGCGUGAGUGAUGAAGGCCCUAGGGUUGUAAAGCUCUUUCA
rnacentral:rRNA from 1 species